rnacentral:lncRNA from 1 species
GGUUUUUGUAUGGUAUAGUUUAGUAUUUUUAAUCUAAGUUCCUUUGUUUAAAUUUCUACAAUGUGGUAGUGAGACAUGUUUCUUUGAAUAAAUGUCAAAGAAAAUACCUAAGAGGGAAAGAGAAAUCAAGGAAAAGAACUGCAAGCUUUUCGUAUGUUUAUAGAAGGAUAAAAUACAGCACAAUAAAUUUACCAAAACUGUUUGGGAAUCAUUGUACUCAACAGGGAUCCAGCACCUUCAAAAUAAGUUUUUGUCAUUGCUUAGAUCUGGUUCCUAUUUGAUUCAAAUGCUCAUUUUGCCACAUUUACUCCAUAUAGUACAUUCAGUAUAAACUCCAUGUUAUUUGAACCAGCUGCAUAUGAUAUUCCUAUCAUAA